rnacentral:rRNA from 1 species
GGCUCAGAUUGAACGCUGGCGGCAGGCCUAACACAUGCAAGUCGAACGGUAACAGGAAGCAGCUUGCUGCUUCGCUGACGAGUGGCGGACGGGUGAGUAAUGUCUGGGAAACUGCCUGAUGGAGGGGGAUAACUACUGGAAACGGUGGCUAAUACCGCAUAACGUCGCAAGACCAAAGAGGGGGACCUUCGGGCCUCUUGCCAUCAGAUGUGCCCAGAUGGGAUUAGCUUGUUGGUGAGGUAACGGCUCACCAAGGCGACGAUCCCUAGCUGGUCUGAGAGGAUGACCAGCCACACUGGAACUGAGACACGGUCCAGACUCCUACGGGAGGCAGCAGUGGGGAAUAUUGCACAAUGGGCGCAAGCCUGAUGCAGCCAUGCCGCGUGUAUGAAGAAGGCCUUCGGGUUGUAAAGUACUUUCAGCGGGGAGGAAGGUGUUGUGGUUAAUAACCGCAGCAAUUGACGUUACCCGCAGAAGAAGCACCGGCUAACUCCGUGCCAGCAGCCGCGGUAAUACGGAGGGUGCAAGCGUUAAUCGGAAUUACUGGGCGUAAAGCGCACGCAGGCGGUCUGUCAAGUCGGAUGUGAAAUCCCCGGGCUCAACCUGGGAACUGCAUUCGAAACUGGCAGGCUUGAGUCUUGUAGAGGGGGGUAGAAUUCCAGGUGUAGCGGUGAAAUGCGUAGAGAUCUGGAGGAAUACCGGUGGCGAAGGCGGCCCCCUGGACAAAGACUGACGCUCAGGUGCGAAAGCGUGGGGAGCAAACAGGAUUAGAUACCCUGGUAGUCCACGCCCGUAAACGAUGUCUACUUGGAGGUUGUGCCCUUGAGGCGUGGCUUCCGGAGCUAACGCGUUAAGUAGACCGCCUGGGGAGUACGGCCGCAAGGUUAAAACUCAAAUGAAUUGACGGGGGCCCGCACAAGCGGUGGGGCAUGUGGUUUAAUUCGAUGCAACGCGAAGAACCUUACCUGGUCUUGACAUCCACAGAAGGAUCCAGAGAUGGAUUUGUGCCUUCGGGAACUGUGAGACAGGUGCUGCAUGGCUGUCGUCAGCUCGUGUUGUGAAAUGUUGGGUUAAGUCCCGCAACGAGCGCAACCCUUAUCCUUUGUUGCCAGCGAUUAGGUCGGGAACUCAAAGGAGACUGCCAGUGAUAAACUGGAGGAAGGUGGGGAUGACGUCAAGUCAUCAUGGCCCUUACGACCAGGGCUACACACGUGCUACAAUGGCGCAUACAAAGAGAAGCGACCUCGCGAGAGCAAGCGGACCUCAUAAAGUGCGUCGUAGUCCGGAUUGGAGUCUGCAACUCGACUCCAUGAAGUCGGAAUCGCUAGUAAUCGUGGAUCAGAAUGCCACGGUGAAUACGUUCCCGGGCCUUGUACACACCGCCCGUCACACCAUGGGAGUGGGUUGCAAAAGAAGUAGGUAGCUUAACCUUCGGGAGGGCGCUUACCACUUUGUGAUUCAUGACUGGGGUGAAGUCGUAACAAGGU